rnacentral:rRNA from 1 species
AUUGAACGCUGGCGGCAGGCCUAACACAUGCAAGUCGAACGAGUGGCGGACGGGUGAGUAAUGUCUGGGAAACUGCCUGAUGGAGGGGGAUAACUACUGGAAACGGUAGCUAAUACCUCAUACCAUCGGAUGUGCCCAGAUGGGAUUAGCUUGUAGGUGGGGUAACGGCUCACCUAGGCGACGAUCACUAGCUGGUCUGAGAGGAUGACCAGCCACACUGGAACUGAGACACGGUCCAGACUCCUAAGGGAGGCAGCAGUGGGGAAUAUUGCACAAUGGGCGCAAGCCUGAUGCAGCCAUGCCGCGGGUGUGAAGAAGGCCUUCGGGUUGUAAAGCACUUUCAGCGGGGAGGCGUUACCCGCAGAAGAAGCACCGGCUAACGCCGUGCCAGCAGCCGCGGUAAUUC